UCCAGUCCAUGGGCCUCUAACUUCCAAUCCUGUGGGCAAAUAAAGCUGUCCAGCACAACCUGCGACUAUCAGAUUCAGGCCGUAUUUAUGGGGGUGGGGUCUGGCCUCAUAUCCUUCAUCUUUAUGCUGCUCUGCUCCAGCUCACAGCCCCUCCAGUCGGAUGGAACUCUUUGAAGGGAGGGGCAUUUCAGAGUAGGGUCCCAGGGAUAGCCCGUUUGUGGGGCUGGGCCACCAGGUUGGGGAGAGUGGAGCUGCUGGAACUCUGGAGGCACUGGCUGAGCCAGCUUUCCUAGCGCACCCCUCUGGGAGGGCAGACUCUGGGUGUAGGCUGCCCAUCUCCUUGCUCCCCUCUAGCCCUGCUUCUAUGCCCCCUUGGUUAGCCUGGGAGCCCAUCCUACCCAGUCUUGGGGUCAAUAAGCAGAGGACCUGGACCUGUAAGGAGUCCUUGAUGAGACGUACAGCCCUGCCCAACUCUGCACAAGAUGACCCAUGGGCUCCUGAGAGCAGGGAUUGUGACUUACUCAUCUUUGAUGUAGCCAAGUUCCAACAAACCUAAAUGUGCAGAGCAACCCGGUGGCGGAGGGAGACCUUCGGCGGCGCGGAGCUCUGUGUGCGGCCAGCAUUGGUUGGCUCCCAGCUCUGGGUGUCUCGGGUCACCUGAGUGCAACCCGUGAGAAGAGACAAGACCACCCAGAUGAUAUGGCCAAGCACACCCCCGCUGAGGCUGUGCGCGUCUGUGCCCCGGGCAAAGCUGGCUCGCUUCCUAGUGGUCCGCCCUGCCAGUUAUUUCAUGGCAGCCUCUUCAUUUGUAAAAGGGCCUUAAUAAUAGCUAAUCACGGGUCGUCCACGAGGCCACGCUGAGAUGAUGCAGGAGUGCAGCCAACACGGUGCCUGGCACGCGAUGCCGCUCUCGGUGGCUAAGUGGCCAUUGCUGAUGCUGCUGUCACUGUGGUCCCAUCCCCCUCACAGUACUACUGGCUCUCACAUGUAGGGGACGCAGAGCAGAGCAGCGUCCUGAGCACCACAGGAGUUCUAACCAUGACUUGCAUUUUUUAUAAUUCUGUUUUU
ensembl:lincRNA